GAAAUUCCUGAAGUUGAAGCAGAACGAGUCGCAAUUGUCAAGCAGUGAAGUGGUUUGGUUAUWCCGUCCAUGUAGCUGUGGCACUGCGCUGGUUGCGCUGUMCGAGCUCUCCUGACUAGUCAGUGUUGCCCACCUUUGUGGUGGUGUCUUGCUUUCUGGAAUGGUUUGCCGUGUCAGUGUUUAGCUUGCCCUUUGCUCGAGAACCGGUGUUAAUGUCCUUCACCCUUCUGUCCCGUCUUGAAACACGGACCGAGGAGUGUAACUUGUGCGCGAGUCAGAGGGUGUUAAACCUUACGGCGAAAUGAAAGUAAAGGUCGAUUAAUCGGCUGA
rnacentral:rRNA from 1 species